GCCAUGGCUGGCAGGUGAUUCCGGACUGUCCCCCAGGUGGUUCUGGCAUACCAAGCAGUUGAUAUUGGCCUGUCAGGCAGGUGGUUCCAGCGAGUAGAGAAGGUGGUUCCGUUCUGUCCUAUAGGUCAUUCCGGCAUGUCUGGCACGUGCUUCUGGCACGUCUGAGAGGUGGUUCUGGCAUGCGAGGCAGGUGAUUCCGGAGUGUCGUGUAAGUGGUUCUGGUGUAGCCGGCAGUUCAUUUUGGCAUGUACGGCACGUGGGUCCUGAGAGUCGAGCAGGUGGUUUCGGUGUGCUCGGAAGGUGGUCCAGGCGUGUCCGGCAUGUGGUUCCAGUCUGUCCAGGACGUGGUUCCAGCGUCUCCGGCACACGGUUCUGUUGCAUCUGAGACGUGGCUCCUGCAUGCACGGCAGGUGAUUCCGGACAGUCCGCCAGGUGGUUCCCACAUAGCCAGCUAUUGAUUUUGGCCUUUACGUCAGGUGGUUCUGGCGAGUCGAGCAGGUGGUUCUGACGUCCUCGGCAGGUGCUUCCGGUGUCAUUGGUACGUGUUUCUGGCAUGUCUGAGAGGUGGUUCCGGCAUGCCCGGCAGGUGAUUCCGGAGUGUUCGCCAAGUGGUUCUGGUGUAGCCGGCAGGUGCUUCCGGUGUCAUUGGUACGUGUUUCUGGCAUGUCUGAGAGGUGGUUCCGGCAUGCCCGGCAGGUGAUUCCGGAGUGUUCGCCAAGUGGUUCUGGCAUAGCCGGCAGGUGAUUUUGCAUGUCCGGUGGUGGUUCCAGUGAGUCGAGCCGGUGGCUCCGGCGUGCUCAACAGUUGGUUCAGGCAGGUCCGGCAGGUGGUUCCGGUCUGUCCGGGAUCUGGUUCCGGCAUGUCUGGCACGUGGUUCUGGUACGUCUCAGAGGUGGUUCUGGCAUGCCCGGCCAGUGAUCCCGGAGAGUCCACCAAGUGAUUCUGGCGUAACCGGCAGGUGAUUUUUGCAUGUCCAGCAGGUGGUUCUGGCGAGUCGAGCAAGUGGUUCCGGCGUGCUCGGCAGGUGCUUCUGGUGUCAUUGGCAUGUGGUUCAGGCAUGUCUGAGUGGUGGUUCCGGCAUGCCCAGCAGGUGAUUCCGGAGUGUUCGCCAAGUGGUUCUGGCGUAGCCGGCAGUUGAUUUUGCAUGUCCGGCGGUGGUUCCAGUGAGUCGAGCCGGUGGCUCCGGCAUGUCCGUCAGGUGGUUCCGGUCUGUCCGGCAAGUGGUUCUGGGGUGUCCGGCACGAGGUUCUGGCACGUCUGAGAGGUUGUGUCGGCAUGCCCUUCACAAGAUUCCGACUUUUCCGCCAAGUAAUUCUGGUGUAGAGGGCAGGUGAUUUUGGCGUGUCCGGCAGGUGGGACCGGUGAGUCAAGCAGGUGGUUCCGGCGAGUGUUUCCUGUGGUUCCGGUCUGUCCGGGAGAUGGUUCCGGCCUGUCCGGCACAUGCUUCUGGCACUUCUGAGAGGAAACUGAGAAAGAAGCGCAACAGAGGCUAGCUCAGGUGGCAAUCGUUAAGCAAAAGAAACACACAAGGGCGUGGAGACCCGGGUAAAAAGCAGCACGGAGAAAUCCACCCUCUGAAACUGACGAACAUGGGCAACAGAGGCUAGCUCAGGUGGCAAUCGUUAAGCAAAAAUAAUAAAAAAUAAAAAAAUACAAUGGCGAGGAGACCCGGUGAAAAAGCAACCAUGAAAAAAGGUACCCUCUGAAACGGAGGAAGCAGGGCAACAGAGCCUAGCUCAGGUGACAAUCUUUAAGCCAAAAAAAAAAAAAGAAAAGAGCAAGGGAGUAGAGACCUUGGGAAAGAGCGAUACUGAAAAAUCUAGCCUCUGAAACUGACAAAGAUGGGCAACACACGUUAGCUCAAGUGCCAAUCUUGCAAAGAAAACACACACACUCACACACACACACUGAGGGACUUGGAGACCUGGGGAAAAAGCAACACUGAGAAACCUACCCUCUCAAACUGACGAAGAUGGGCAACAGAUGCUAGCUUAGGUUCAAUAUUUGAGCAAAAAAAAAAAAAAACACACACACACACAAGGGCGUGCAGAACUUGGGAAAGAGCAAGACUGAGAAAUCUACCCUCUGAAACUGACAAAGAUGGGAAACAGAGGCUUAGCUCAGGUGGCAAUCUUUAAGCAAAAAAAAAAACAAAAAAACAGAAAAAAAACCCCACAAUGGAGUGGAGACCCGGGGGAAAUCAACACUGAAAAAUACAAAUACAAUGGAAGGCCAAUAGACAGAGCAGGCACUUUCACCUGGGGAGGAGGAGGUACGCAUGGAUGACCAAUAAGCGCAUGAAAAGAUGUGAGCUGUUCCCUGGAAAAGCAAGUGAGAAAAUUAGAGGGAGACAUUGUGGGGACACAUGGGUGAGACUGGCUUCUUCCAAAUACAGGAACAGGAUCAAACUGCUAGUGAGGUCGCGGAGAAGCCAAGUCAGUCACUCACGCCUCACUGGUGGUGAAGGGAAACAGUAUGGCCUCUGUGAAAAAUGGCGUGGCGGGUUCCAAAACUCACACGCCGCGGAAACAACCACCGAAAGUGGCAACCUACAUAAGCCCUUGGUGUAUCUUGCCUCCUAAGAGCGUCUGUAUGUAGCUGGAGCCUUGGGUUGUUAAGGCUUCCACAGUGAUCUGUGGUGGUGGGGGGGGGCCUUGGGCCUUGGGGGUCUCCGCUGGACCUCCAGGAAGUCAGCUUCUGUGGAGUCCCGUGAGUCCUUCCAGGGAGGGAGGCAUCCAACCCGAGGGUGGUCUGGAGGGCACCACUCCCGCCACUCCCGGGGGCUGGGGCGGGGGGCGGGGUGGGGGCUGCGGCCACGUUCCUGUUCAUUCACACAGAAUCCGGGGCAUGAAUGUUCUUAGCAGCUCUGUUCCACACAGACCCACACUGGAAACCACACAGACGUCCUGCAAGUCCCAUCCCUUGCUCAUGUCGCCGGGGCUCCGGAGGAGGGCCACUCUGUAAAAGCGGCCGCCAGAUGGCGCCCAACAACCGGCGCGGAGGGGUCAGCGGGAGGGAACCGGGUCACCGGCCAGCGAGAGUGCACAGCCUGAGCCCACCGCCGGGUCAGGUCUCUCUCUGUCUACCUCUGUCUCUGUCUCUCUGUCUCUCUGUCUCUGACUCUGUCUCUCUCUCUCUUUCUCUCUGGGCCCGCUUGGGGCGGCCGGGAGGUCACCACGCGAGGCCCCAGGGUGUCCACCUCGGAGCUCCCAGGCAGCACAGGGCAACCCUGGGCGCAGAAGGAGGUCUUGGAAAAUCGGCGGGGAGGGGGGUGGGGUGGGUGGGCUUGCCAGGAAGGGGACAGACUCCCCACGUGACUCCUGGGCCGGGCCGGGGCUGCCGGCUGGCUGACGCGGACAGAGGGUGGAAAAGUCCCCGGAGAUGCCACGGGGCAGGCCGGGGCUGCCGGCCCCCGAUUCCCUGAGCGGCCCGAGCACUUCCCGGGUCCCGGGAGGACUUAGAAAAUCAGGGCGGGGUGGGGGGUGGGGGUCGCUGUCAAACCGAAACCACGCACGUCAUCAGAGAAGGACCGUGACGACGGAGGAAUUGUCCGCAGUCUGUCAGGAAUUGUGUGCAGCCUGUCACUUCCGGCCCAGAGGGUCUUUCUAAGGCAGACGGACAGACAGAGCCCACAAGUCGUAGAGGAAAGGACCGAGCCGCUUGGCCGCUGAAAAGUUUACAAGACAAAACGGGUCUCCCUCCGCACGGGGCCACAGCAAAGCCCAAAGACGACACACGGGGGGAGCAUGGGUGCAGAUUCACGUGUGGUGAUAAGAAUAUGGAUUUCAGCAGGGCUUCCCGUCCUCAUCAACAAGCAGAAGCACCCAAAUGGUGCGGGUUGGGGGCAGAGACCUCACAGCCAUUCCCUCCACAAAUCGAGUUCCCCGGGACAUCCUCACAGCGCCGUGCUGUGAGUGUGUGUGGGUGUUUAAAAUGGGGUAAAUGUGGACGUGGAACUGCUCCGGUGAAACCAAAAUAACAACAGUCGUAGAUCUUCUUUGGUCAUUUAGAAAAUUCUUUCCCCCCCCCCCCCCAGCGGUGCACGUAUUUCCCUUCCAAAAAAGAAGAACGGGAAAGGAGAUGUUAAAGGCAAGCAGAGAGAGGAAAACUGUUGCAAAACAAAAGCUGAGCUCCCGUCCGAGGGAGGCCUCCUCCGUUAGAGGGCCUAGGAAAUCAUUCUGACAAAAUGGAGGAUCUCUGUCUUUGGUGUCGAUUCCCUCAGAGGUCAAGAGAAACCUUUUCCAAUGUCUUUACCAGGAGGAGACUAGAAGUUAGAGAAAAGUAUCCUUUCGAGAGCGAGAAAAACCAAUUCUGAUUUUGCAUCAGCUUCCCUCCGAUCUUGAAACUCAUUGACUUGAUUCCAUUCUGUCGAUGGAAAUAAUCCGGAACCAAUCUAUCCGUGAAAAUCGGGGUGAGUUUAUUCUGACCUAAGAUGUGAGGACUGUGGCCCGGGGCCUUUCUUCCCGAAGGAAGAAAGGGCGCCCGGGAAGUGGGGUGUACAGAGUGCUUCUAGACCCCCAGAGAGGACGUUUCACAUAGGAUCGAAAGGUCCCUUGGACGAUAGUCGCGACACUGCUCUGUCAGCACAGCGAUCGACAGACACUGCUGGGUGGCAGGUCUGUUGUCUGGGCCUGGGUGGUCACAGGUGAGCCGGAUGGUCAAAGGUGAGCGCAACCAUCCGUUCCUAGCCUAAGGAAAGAUGCCUCUCCUUAAGGAAAGGCCCGAGCACGGGGAAGCUGCUCCUUUCCCUUAAGGGCAUUGGUUCUUGCCGUAGGAAAUGUUUAAAGCAGAUCUACGAUGCGAUGCGUGCUCGACGGCCACGUCAGGCCCUUUUGGAAAAACACUGUCAGGCCGAAUUAGGCCGACACCCAAUGGCUUCCUCAUAGACUCCAAUAGAUCCUAUCGCUCGCCAUUUCUAUCUGUCCACUCGUUCCAAUUUUAGGCCACUUGACCACGAACAGACCUUUUUCUCAGAUUUUUUUCCCCGUGAUCACCUUUUCACAGACAAAACGAUCUUUACUUUUUAGGCCCUCUUGCCUGAAGGCAGCCAUCUCACUUUCCUUGAACACAAAGAUGUUUCCCAUAUUCACUUUUAGUGGCUUUUUGUUUUGUUUUGUGUUGUUUUGUUUUGAGGACGAUGAGCCCUGAGCUAACUGCUGCCAAUCCUCCUCUUUUUGCCGAGGAAGGCUGGCCCUGAGCUAACCUCCGUGCCCAUCUUCCUCUAUUUCAUAUGUGGGACGCCUACCACCACGUGGCUCGCCCAGCGGUGCCACGUCCACCCCCGGGAUCCGAACCGGCGAACCCCGGGCCGGCGAAGUGGAACAGGCACACUUAACCAGCGCGCCACUGGGCCGGCCUAGUGGCUUUCAUCGCAUUCGUUAAGUAGAAUUUUUAACCCUCACGAACCUUAAUUUUGGUGAAAACUAAGAAGUCAGCAAUUAGGAACUGUCCUUCCCAUGAGCAGUCUGUCGCUUGGCCAAUUUCUAAACACUUGGCCACUUUUAGAAACAUGGGAUUUCAUAGGUUUAUCUCUUCCUUCGCUUUAUUUGAUUUCAUCUCACUUUAGUUUUUGGGUGAGGAAGAUCGGCCCUCACAGAGUUAACGCCUGUUGCCAAUCUUCCUCUUCUUUCUGCUUGAGGGAGAGCGGGCCCGAGGUAACACCUGCGCCCCACUUCCUUGAUCUUGCGGACGGGAUGCCGCCACAGCCCGGUGUGAGGAGCGGUGGAGGUCCACGCCCGGGAUCUGAACCCGAGGACCCCAGGCUGCCGAAGCUGAGUGCAGGAGCUUAACCACUAUGCCGCCGGGCCGCCGUCCCCUGUCAAAGCUUUUAAUAAAGCACGAGACGUGUUCCUCGAUAGACCCAAACGUCUUUUCGUUUCCGUAUCCUCACAAACCCAAAGUAGAUAAACUUCUAUUUAGCCACUCACGUCUCAGGUUCUAUCUUACUAGGAAAUGAUCUACAUCGUCAGGGAAAUUGUUUUUGUCUUAAGUUUGGCACCCGAGCUAACGACUCUUGCCAAUCUUCCGUUUUUGUUUUUUUCCCCCCCUCCCGAUUUUUCUCCCCAAAUCCCCCCCAUGACAUAGUUGUCUAUCUUAGUUGAGGGCCGUUCUAGUGGUGGCAUGCGGGACGCCGCCUCCACACGGCCCGACGAGCGGUGCCGUGUCCGUGCCCGGGAUCUGAACGGGCAAAACCCUGGGCCGCCGAAGGGGAGCGUGUGAACUUAACCACUCGGCCACGGGGCUGCCCCCGUCCGUGGACUUUUUUAUCACCUGAUUUCACCUCGCAAAACUUCAAAGCUUCAAGUUAUCAGAGAGGUUUGGGAAGUUGUUUCUAUUUAUUUAAUUAAUUUAUUUUUCGAGGAAGACGAGCCCCGAGCUGACACCUGCUGCCAAUUCUCCUCUUUUUGCCCCGGGAGAGUGGUCCCGAGCUAACAUCCGUGCCCAUCCUCCUCCCGUUGAUAGGCGGGACGCCGACCACAGCAUGGCUCACCAAGCGGCGCCACGUCCGCACCCCGGAUCCGAACCGGCGAACCCCUGGCCGACAAAAUGGAACGUGCGAACAUAACUGCUGUGCCGCCGGGCUGGCCCUUCGGGAAGUUCUUUUCAGGACACGGGCCAUAAACUAGAAUCACCGCUACAGGUUUAUCGGAGCGACAUCAGCGUUCGUGGUGGAUUGAGUCGUCCCCUCUGUCUCUCCCCUCCAGGGGACAACCAAAGGGACGUCUAUCGACCCACCCACCAAGGAUUCCCCCCCGCAUGGCACAGCAGGAUGCCUGAGAGAUCCACGCAGCCCUACAGCGGCAAGUCACAUUCGCACAGUCAAAAUUCAAUGGCAGAGGGGGCUGGCCCCGUGGCCGAGUGGUUAAGUUCGCGCGCUCCGCUGCAGGCGGCCCAGUGUUUCGUGGGUUCGAAUCCUGGGCGCGGACAUGGCACUGUUCAUCAGACCACGCUGAGGCAGCGUCCCACAUGCCACAACUAGAAGAACCCACAACGAAGAAUACACAACUAUGUACCGGGGGGCUUUGGGGAGAAAAAGGAAAAAAUAAAAUCUUUAAAAAAAAAAUUCAAUGGCAGAGACAAAACGUUAAGGUCAGCGAGAGGGAAGAGAAUAACCGGCCCAGGAGCAACGGUGUGAAGAACAUGGAGAAGACGGGUCCUAGACGCUGGGGUCCCCGGAGCAGCGAUUUCAUCAGAGGCCCGCGAACGUCCACGAUCUCCACACCACGUUUAUGGCCGACUGCGUGUGUGGGUCCUUUGGAAUCGACCAGGCUACUGUCUGGGCCACUUUGGGACAUCGUGUCUAGCUGCCCCGAGCGGUGGAGCUGUCGUUCGAGUGUAAGAUGGGGCCCAUCCGGGGAGAGCAUGGGGACGGGGAAAGGGAGGCCGCGGGAAGUCACAGAGUCUGAGGUGUUCGGGGGAGACCGACUCUUCUAAAGUGGAGGCGGUAGAAGGAGAGCAGCAGGAUUUUUGGAUUUUUGUUCUCUCUGUUAGGUAUCUGGGUCCGGAGGAGAGUGGGGCGGGGGGGGAUGGUUGUGGUGGUGGUGGUGGUGGUGGUGGGUGUGAGGCUGAGGCAGGGCUGGUGUUUCCUUUCCGGGUCAGGUGAAAGAGCUCCUCCAGUGGAGGUUUUUGGACAAGGGGUCUGGUCUGGCAGGAUGGGAGGUUGCGGGUCGAGCCACAGGGGAAUCUGUCGUAGCUCAGACUCGGGCCUUUGAAGAAAUAGACAGAGAGAGGAGUUUUGCUCUGUCUGUCACCGCAGCCGGCACCUCAGGAGCAACAACAGAAGGCUUCCCGAAUGAGUGAAGGGGCAG
rnacentral:lncRNA from 1 species